rnacentral:rRNA from 1 species
AGAGUUUGAUCCUGGCUCAGAAUCAACGCUGGCGGCGUGCCUAACACAUGCAAGUCGCACGAGAAAGUGGAGCAAUCCAUGAGUACAGUGGCGCACGGGUGAGUAACACGUGACUAACCUACCCUCGAGUGGGGAAUAACUUCGGGAAACCGAGGCUAAUACCGCAUAACACUUACGAGUCAAAGCAGCAAUGCGCUUGAGGAGGGGGUCGCGGCAGAUUAGCUAGUUGGUGAGGUAAUGGCUCACCAAGGCGAUGAUCUGUAUCCGGCCUGAGAGGGCGCACGGACACACUGGAACUGAAACACGGUCCAGACUCCUACGGGAGGCAGCAGUGGGGAAUUUUGCGCAAUGGGGGAAACCCUGACGCAGCAACGCCGCGUGGAGGAUGAAAUCCCUUGGGAUGUAAACUCCUUUCGAUCGGGACGAUUAUGACGGUACCGGAAGAAGAAGCCCCGGCUAACUUCGUGCCAGCAGCCGCGGUAAUACGAGGGGGGCGAGCGUUGUUCGGAAUUAUUGGGCGUAAAGGGUGCGUAGGCGGUUUGAUAAGUCAUCUGUGAAAUCUCUGGGCUCAACCCAGAGUCUGCAGGCGAAACUGUCGGGCUUGAGUAUGGGAGAGGUGAGUGGAAUUUCCGGUGUAGCGGUGAAAUGCGUAGAUAUCGGAAGGAACACCUGUGGCGAAAGCGGCUCACUGGACCAUUACUGACGCUGAUGCACGAAAGCUAGGGGAGCAAACAGGAUUAGAUACCCUUGUAGUCC